GUCUUCAUAAACCAAGGCAGAGCACUGGAUCGCUUCUAGCUGCGUGAUUUUAUGAAGCAAAUCGAUGGGAGGAUAGUGAAGUGAAGGCAGACAACGUCUUCUGUUUCCAUGGUGAUCUUCGAUUUUAAACAUUAAAACAGCACAUUAGCUCUUUCUCUUUGUUUCAUUCCUUGUCAAAAUCUGUUUACUAGUAUACGCUUGCACUCCCCGUGUGGAGUUGGUGUGUGAGGCUCAAGCCCUGCUCACGCUGGAUGGCCAUGGUCCGCUGGAUUCCGAUGCCUGGAUCUGUGUCCCUCUCUUCUGUUCUACUUGUGUGGUGCGGAACCUCCGCUUUGCUUUUCUGGAACCAGCUUUUGUCUGGAAGCUACGUGUUCCCAAGACUUUAAUGACUCGGGCCGUUCUCCGAGCCCUGCCGCCUGCGGAGUCUGAGCUUCUGCGAGCUCGGCCUCUCCUGAGCGCUGCUGCCCUCGCCCUUGAGGUCGGUACGGGCGGGCGAAGGAAUGGGGCUGCCUGGUUUGGACUUCCAGUCUCCAACCCUGAGCUAAACAAAGCUGCUUUCUGUAUAUCGCAGAGCGUCACAGGAGGAGAGGGAGAGCAACA
rnacentral:lncRNA from 1 species